GUGCUCACUCUCUUCUGUCAG
rnacentral:snRNA from 1 species